AUUGCUUUUUGGCCUUUUGGCUAAGAUUAACUGUAAUACCUGUUCUGAUCAGUCUAAUCUUUAUUUUGUUCAACUUAUUUCAAUUUAUUUAUCUCACUGAUUGUAGCAAGUAGAAUUUGUUAUAUAAAUUAGAUUAACUCUAUGUAGUAGUUACAGGUGGAAACUACUUCCACAAAGAAAGUAAU